UUCGACAUCUCUGGUUUAGACU
rnacentral:miRNA from 1 species